rnacentral:sRNA from 12 species
AAUCGUUCCUACGGCAUACCCUUACGGGUUGAGGGAUAGCAGAGGACGAGAGGCUUGAACCUCAGUAACAGCAGCCCUAUGGCUGGAAAACUGAAAAAGCACGAAAUUCAAGUAGAGGCUGGUAGGUUCAUUCUCGAACGCCUUGGACUUG